AGGUUCCCUCGAGUGCCACCGCGGAGCUACAAUCGGGAGUCCCAGUGACUCUCAACGCGCUCUGAGCGAAGGUCCCUGGAUCUCGGGCAGAAAGUGCCGCAGCGUGAUCGCGCUGUUAGCCUCCGCCGUCGGCUCAUCGAAGAGAGGAAGCCUCUCGCGGCUGAUCUUUCGAGCCGGGCGCGAGUGUAUUGGUCAAAGUAAAGUAAUGUGCUUGCACGUCGCUUUGCGGCGAACUUAACAGGGCCUACUCCGAGGUAACU
rnacentral:RNase_MRP_RNA from 2 species